rnacentral:rRNA from 1 species
UACGGAAGGCAGCAGUGGGGAAUAUUGCACAAUGGGCGCAAGCCUGAUGCAGCCAUGCCGCGUGUAUGAAGAAGGCCUUCGGGUUGUAAAGUACUUUCAGUCGUGAGGAAGGUGUUAAGGUUAAUAACCUUAGCAAUUGACGUUAGCGACAGAAGAAGCACCGGCUAACUCCGUGCCAGCAGCCGCGGUAAUACGGAGGGUGCGAGCGUUAAUCGGAAUUACUGGGCGUAAAGGGCACGCAGGCGGUUAAUUAAGUUGGAUGUGAAAUCCCCGGGCUUAACCUGGGAAUGGCAUUCAAGACUGGUUAGCUAGAGUCUUGUAGAGGGGGUGAAUUCCAUGUGUAGCGGUGAAAUGCGUAGAGAUGUGGAGGAAUACCGGUGGCGAAGGCGGCCCCUGGCAAAGGACUGACGCUCAUGUGCGAAAGCGUGGGGAGCAAACAGGGAUUAGAUACC